rnacentral:rRNA from 1 species
CCUACGGGGGGCAGCAGUGGGGAAUAUUGGACAAUGGGGGGAACCCUUAUCCAGCCAUGCCGCGUGUGUGAAGAAGGCCCUCGGGUUGUAAAGCACUUUCAGUGAGGAAGAACGCCUGGUGGUUAAUACCCAUCAGGAAAGACAUCACUCACAGAAGAAGCACCGGCUAACUCCGUGCCAGCAGCCGCGGUAAUACGGAGGGUGCGAGCGUUAAUCGGAAUUACUGGGCGUAAAGCGCGCGUAGGUGGCUUGAUAAGCCGGUUGUGAAAGCCCCGGGCUCAACCUGGGAACGGCAUCCGGAACUGUCAAGCUAGAGUGCAGGAGAGGAAGGUAGAAUUCCCGGUGUAGCGGUGAAAUGCGUAGAGAUCGGGAGGAAUACCAGUGGCGAAGGCGGCCUUCUGGACUGACACUGACACUGAGGUGCGAAAGCGUGGGUAGCAAACAGGAUUAGAUACCCUGGUAGUC